UCCGGCAUCAGCACCCAAUCUCUCGGAUGCUUCCUUGGACGUAGAAGAAUAGUAAUAAAUAUAUUAUGUGAUAAUUAUUGAUAAUGUGUUGGAAUAUAAUUACAUUAAAUUAAAAAAUGAAUUCUAUAUAUUGAAUAACAGGGUGAUUCAGGUUUUAAGCGACAAACUGAAGUGGGUAAUUUGAGCAAAUAAGUUUAUAUAAACAAGAUUCCAAUAUCAUUUAGUAGCGGAGCUACAGGGGGUCAAAGUUUAUUGAAAAAAAAAGUUACAGCUGAUUAAAAUGUUAUCAAAGAAAAUAAAACGCACUGUGCAGUUUGAGGUACGAGCGAUUUUAACAAAACAAAAUAUAUUUCGAUAUUCACAAGUUACAGAUUACAUCAGCCAAGUCGGGUGGUCUUGUCUGAACAAUAAUAUCAGUACUGCUGAGAAUUAUAUUAUUAUUAUUCUGUAAAUGAUGCUCAUCGAAAUAUUGACAAGAAUUUUCAUGACGUUUGUCAUCUCGCGUAUCCUUUCAUUAGUUUCAUCUAAUUAUGAGAAGUUUAAAAACCAACCAGGAUUUAUUUUUCUUUAUAAAGGCUCAAAGCAUUGACUUUAGUGACUUUACAACACUAACAAACCGUUUCUUUGUGUGCUCAAAUUUAGCCACAGUGAAAGUGAUAUUACGAAAGUUAAAGAAUGUUUAAGGCUCUUUUGUAAAAAUUUGUCAAGUAAAUUGAAGAAAGCAUUUAGGAAUGAGAAAAGGUUUUUACUACAAAAUCGGUUGUGGCUUAGUUUGAAUUAUAGCUGGCCAAAAUUUUGCAAAAGUAACCUUGACACUUCAGACAACAAUAAUACCAAGAGAGGACCUCGAAAGAGUUUUCAAGAAUUAGGUAACAGACAGAAACUAAGAAGGACGGACAGCUUAAGACAGGCAAAUGUCGACGAGCUUAAUUUUGCAAUUUUGUUAAAAGUAAAGGCAGGAUCUGCUAAUAAAGAUAUCAAUAAAAUACUACAAUUUUUAAAUGAAAAUCCGAACGAGGUGCAAAACGUACUUCACUUCUGCAAAAACAUGGAUCAGUACCAUUGCCACUCCUACACAAAAGAGAAUGCCCUUGCUCUAUUUGUCUCCAGCAAUACAUUAACAUUAGAAAAUCGGCACAAGAUGAACAUUGUAACAUUUAUCCGUCCUACUAUCAGAUCCAGCAAGCGAAACAAGAAUGUUUUCCUCCAAAGUGUUCAAUAAUGGUCACUGACACAUUUGCAAAAAUAACUCUUCAAUCUUUACUGGAUACUACCGCAAGAAGAAUUUUGGAUAUUUCAGAUUGCCGUAAUAAAAUUGAAGGCAAUGGCGAGCUUACGCUCUUUGGAAAAUGUAGUUUUGAUGGUGCAUCAGGACAAAGCGUAUGUAAACAAACCUUUGAUAUGAUGAAUGUCGAUGACUCUAGUAUUUUUAUGUCAGCUGGAAAAUCCAAAACCAUCAUCAACAUUUUAUUGCAAACCGCUUUGCUUUCAAUUCGUAAAAAAAUCCAAGGAAAUUAUUUUACAGUAUUCGGAGUCCUUGAAUGAAGAAAAAGCCAUGCUUAUCACAACAUUUUUUUCUGGUGGUGUUUCUAUCAAACAUAAAAUUUUUACAACCAUGAUUGAUGGAAAAAUUUGUUCGUGUUUAGCGGGCGCGUUAACAAUGGUCUGUUACAUAUGCGGAGCAAAGCCUAGUGAAAUGAACAAUAUGGAGGUCAUCGAGAAAAAAAUUCCGAGUGAGGACAAGUAAGCUUUGGGGCUUUCUAUUCUUCACUCUUAGAUCAGAGCUUUAGAAUGUGUGCUCCACAUAUCCUACAAUUUAGAUUUUAAAAAAUGGUCUGCAAGAACUCCCCAAAAAAAACAACAAAAGGAAACAAGGAAAAAUGAAAUUCAAAAAAGGAGGAAAUGGAUCUACACGUGGAUUUUGUAAAGCAAGGGCUGGGUACGUCAAA